AUAUAAAAUCAUAUGUAAUAGUGUGCAAAUCAUUCGUAUCGCCUAUCAUUAAAGCUGCAUGAAAUAGCCUUCACCACACACUUUAUCCACGUACCACCUCCCAGGCUGUGACCUAGUCCACGCAACCCCGUUAAGAUUCGAGCAGUCCCGUCGAUUUCCUGAAAUUUUGUCCAUUUUUUUAUGAAUUUUGUGCUCGCAAAGUUUGAGGCUCUGAGCGAUGGCUAUCAAAACUGAACGAAAAUGUACCUGGGGGUGGAUGAAUGUGCUCAGUCUGGGUAAGUUUCAAACAAAGAAUAGACCAUUCCGCUGAAGCGUACAGCAUGCUAGUUUUAAAACAUGUCGGCUAAUGUGUCUGGAAUUUCAAUGAGACAAAAUCCGCCAUUACAUAAUUUUUUUCCUUACGCACCGCUAGUGAUCAGUUCACGCACCCUUAGGGGUGCGCGCACCACACUUUGGGAACCGCUGCUCUAAUUCAUCAGAAGUCACCUACGAUAGGAUAUUUUAUCCCUGACAGAUUAAAUUUACAUUAAGUUUGUUAAACUUUUAGUUAAUUAGCGCAAGCCAGCGCGCACGUAUACCAUAUAGCGCCAGAAUAGGCUUGACUACCCGACACGUUCUUUCCUCCAUCUUGGCGGUUCGGUGCCAGCCUGCGAGAGCAGAGCCAAAGACCUUCAACAUUGACUUGGGGUUGCCUAUGCUGACGUACUAGCACUACAUCAGUCUGCGACACCUUCAGCACCAUGAACGACUUCACAGGAGCCCUAAACAGAGGUAGGGCUCUCCUGCAAAACCCAAUUUGCAACACCUACUUCUGUUUAUAAUACCAUGAGAACCUGCGCUUACUUUUACUGCGCUAAACGUGAACGAUCUCGGAGAUGCUCUCUAGCCAAACGAACUUGUACAUCCUUCUUACGUACAUAUUAUAUCGUGAGCCUAUCAAUCUGUCAUACACACACUCACACAUAAAACCCAAGGUUCCAAUACAACAAACCUGCUUACUUAUAUUAAUUCCGAACUCAACAGUAAGUCCACCUACAAAUAACUAUAACGAGGCGUUGAAUUAUAGCAACGCGUCUCCUCCACUCAACCAACGGGACAUGAAGACGCUUGAGGCCUCUUUGCGCCUCAACCUACCUGUCACCGCUCUGUGUCAAUACAGACCCACGUGACCUGCUUGGGUCUGUGUGUGUGUGUGUGUGUGUGUGUGUGUGUGUGUGUGUGUGUGUGUGUGUGUGUGUGUGUGUGUGUGUGUGUGUGUGUGUGUGAGAGAGAGAGAGAGAGAGAGAGAGAGGUAUCUCAGGUGGCUAUAUUGAUUGGUGAUACGAGUAAAAGCUUAUCAUUCCAUAUAAUUGGAUAUAUAGGAACUAUAUGAUUUUAUUUUUUGGUUGUAUAUUUUACCACUUCGUCAUUUGAUAGCAUAAAUGACGAGUCGCGUUCCCGGGGGACUCGAAAGAAAUGUACAGAAAAUAUUUAAAUGACUAGCGAAGAUAUUAAUGAGUGACCAGUUUCACAGUUUUCACUUUUCAUCCUGUGUCCAAGGAUUCGCGGGCAGUAGGGGACAUGGUGAAGCCUUGUGUAGUGUGAAGGAUAUAUCGAGUUCUUUUUUUUUUUUUUUUUUUUUUUUUUACGUUCGGCCUAAGAGUAGGUAGGCUUUCUUUAUGGGGUCUGGUGGUCGGCUCCACCCCGUAAUGGCACAGGCAAGUGUUUUAUAGUGCGGCCAUCUUACUGUUGUGUGUGUGUGUGUGUGUGUGUGUGUGUGUGUGUGUGUGUGUGUGUGUGUGUGUGUAAACCUACUCAUGAAAAAUACUCAAUAUUUUAUGUAGCCUACAUAACUUUCGAGUACCUCGGAAACGUGACCCAUCAUCGACCGAUAAAUAAUAUCUCCAUCCUCAUUAAUGACUGCCACCCUCCCGCCCCAUCCGCCAAGUCACGUCAGAAGUCCCGAGUGCUGAUCCCGUGACCGCUGGAGCACGGCCAACUUGGCUGGCCCACGGCCCCGGCCGACGCGCCCUUCAUACAAGCCGCCAAAAUAGAAAUGAAGUGUGCGAGGUAUUUAGCCAAACUGCCAGUCACACACACACACACACCUUGGCGGUUGGCCCUCUGUUUUUCCCAUACUGGCAGCCUGAAGGGAGACCUAAAAAUGUCUCACCUCACGCAAGGUAUGGAAUUUGUUUCUGAGCAUAGUCCAAUUUCCAAAUAUUGGUUGUGUCGGAAAAAUCCGGUUAUAGCUCAACACUACCUAGGCCUAUAUGGAUUUUAGCAGUAAACAGUAACAGUAGCCGAAAGAACAGGACGGAAAAAUAAACGACUGCAUUCCUUAUCACGUGUCCUUUGGUUACUUAAUCUGUUUUGCUCGACCCUCAGCUUUUAUCUUAUCAAUCUCUCCCUAAAGCUGCAAGUGAUGUGAAGUGUCGGACUAUGAACCCAACUAUCAGCAGGUGCAAUAGUGUUGGGUGGCUCCCCAAGCCUUAUUAAUGGAACAACAUGUGGAUCAUUGCCACUAAGUUUGGUUGGGCGAGGAAGUGCAAUGAUUCUUCUACAAUAUUAGGUUAUUUGUUUAUUAUUAAGUCAUUAAGUUAUCAUUGGGGUGGUAGUAGUAGUAGUAGUAGUAGUAGUAGUAGUAGUAAAAUACGAAGACCUUGGAGUUCUAAGGCAUUCACGAAUAUAAGAAACGGCAUGAGAUAGAAACAAAAUACUAAGACGACUGUUGUACCAUUUUUUUCAUCCGACUGGAAAUCUUGCAUAAAAAAAUCACGAAUCAUUUUAAUAAAAAAAGGCCAGGACAGCAGGAGGUGGCCUCAGAGGACGGGCUUUGCUGAGUAGCAUCAGGAAAUGCCGUCAAGGCCAGGUUCCACGGAUUGGAGAAUUAAAAAAAGAUGAAUCCAUAACAAGUUAAUGGUUGUGUAUUUACGUUAAUAAAAAAACCUAGAGAUCAUUUCGGAAGAAAAUAUAUCGUAACUUUCGUGACUUCCUGAGAACCUUUGUAAUCAUGAUUUUCACACACACACACACAAAAAAAAAUCGCAUUUUCAGAGAGAGAGAGAGAGAGAGAGAGAGAGAGAGAGAGAGAGAGAGAGAGAGAACGUCCCCUACUUCUUUCAUAAAUACAUGUAUACGUGAGUGCUCUCUGGGCACGCGCUCUUCCGCCCCCUCUUUUUUUCCAGCUUAUACCAAUCCCCACGUGGGAACUUUCCUAUCUGGAUCUCACUAGUACACACUGGCUUCGUCUCCACCACCUGUAGCUACGGGAGCCGCUGCUGGGUCGAUGGCUGACUCCUGGCUAGUCUUUCAACACUUUUCUUAAACUCCCUAAUACCAGAAUCGAAAGAAAAGAAAAUAUCUGUCGAUUUCCUUCUUUUCUAUUGAGUAUGAUGAAGAUAUACGCUAUGCUAAAUUCAAAGGUGUUGAAAUUGACAUUUAUUUCUUUAAUUUUUUUCUUUGCGCCGAUGUAACGUCAGUAUACAAAAAGUUUGCCCAUAGCAAACAUGGAAGCAAUGCAGAUGCUAAGCAGGCGGAAAUGAAAUUAACAACACGAUAUAUUUUUCAACUUGACUCACAAAGAUUGCCUACGGCCACUUUCACUGAUAUUUAAAGCAAAAUAUUGGUGUGCAUCUCUCUCUCUCUCUCUCUCUCUCUCUCUCUCUCUCUCUCUCACACACACACACUCCGGUAGCUCAAUCGGCUACAGCGCCGCGCUGCAAGGCUUCACGGACAAACAGGCGUCGGUUAGAGCCCCGCUCAGGCCGGAUUCUUUCCGUUGACUAGGAGUGGUUACUGUCCCCUCUUGAGCAAGGGGGAUGGGGUGUGUGGUGUGUGAGGUCAUGGCAGUACCCAGAGAUCAACGAUAAUGCUCGAGUCGGGAGGGUACCUGCUGGGGAAAGCGAGUCCAACUCGUGAUCAGACCGUGGUGAAUUACACACACACACACACACACAAUCAACGCAACUGUUCCACUGAUCAAGCAAAGGUGUAAAUAUUUUUGUCUCGCUGCAAAGCAAGCAAAUCACUUAAAACAUUUAAUCAUAUAAAUUUAAAUGCGACGUUGUUAAUUUCAUGCCCGUAGUCACCAUUACAAAGGCAAGUCUACAUUCCAGGGCAUUAACACAAUAUAUAAUCAUAAACAAAUUGUGCAGAGAACACAACACUCUUGUCCACUCAUGUAAGUCAAGAAUAAGAAAGCUUCCUAUCUAUCUGCGUGGAGAAAGAUGCACCCAUCCCCUUUAAUAAAACACACACACACACACACACACGAUCAGCCAGUCAUUCAUUAGUGUUGGCCGAUGGGGAUUCUGUAUUUCUUGAGACGAACUGAUUCAAGAAUAACAAAGGAGGAGGAUGGUGGAAGAAAGUAAAUAAGAACAUAAGAACAUAGGGAAACUGCAAGAGGCCGGGUGGCCUACACAGGGCAGCUCCAGAAUUCCCCCCACUAUUCACGAUGGGUGAGGUUACAGGAGUUACAGGUAGAGGCUUGAUCCUCGUUAUACCGGCGGUACUAGGCACGCACCAGUACCCUGUCACCUUACUGCACCCACACCUCACUACCACCUGUCGUCCUCGUCCAUGGAGCUAUCCAGUCUACUCUUAAAACAAGCUAUCGUCCCUGCACUAUGUGAUUGCUGAGUCUAUUCCAUUCCCCCACCACCCUAUUACUAAACCAAUGCUUGCCUAUAUCUCUCCUAAAUCUAUACUUUUCUAAUUUAAAUCCAUUACUUAAUGGAUUUAAUUAAUGGAUACAUUAAUGAAGAAAGGAAAACCAGAACUGGGGAGAUAUUUGGGUCGUCCUUGUCACAAGCCUCAGUCAUAUUGUGAAACUUGGACAAAGUCCAAAAUUCAAAAGCAUCAACAGACAGGUCAUAUCUGUGGGCGGAGGACGGCGUGUGCGUGCAUCUAAGGCCUUGAGUGCGUCCACAUGUCAAGAGCCAGGUUGGAAUCCACGUGACCAGCUACACGUAGCCAAAACUGCAUGGGAGCUCCCCGGCCCAGCCCAUAUUUACCAAAACCUGUGUGUGUGUCCCUAAUGUCCUGAACGACCUCUACCAUGCCUCUAUACCCUCCCCUCUCCCCCUUCCAAACCUACAUACGCCUCAACCAAUUACGACGCGGUAUUCAGUGGUAGGGAGUCUGGGGAGACCCUUACUUCAAGAGGGAGACGAGGUGGGCGAGAGGGUAGGGGGGGGGGUUCUAGUCUUUUUUUUUUUCUUGUGUGUGUGUGUGUGUGUGUGUGUGUGUGUGUGUGUGUGUAUAGAAACAUGAGGAGGGAAGGAAUGGAUGGAGAUGGGGGAGAAGUGGGUUAGACUUGGUAGAUACGAACUAAAUCUCAGCACUGAUAUUACUUUUGUUCACCCAUGAAUGAGAACAGGAAAUUGCAGAAAGGCUCAAAGUUGCAUCAUGGUAAAUAAUCAUAAAAACAAAAACAAACAUGACUCAAGGAAGACGCCCCCAGCAUCCACCAAUCCCAAGCCAGCAUACAAGACCCACCUCACGAGACAGCCAAUCAUGGCCGCCAGAAUAACUAAGCCCCGCCUCCCUAUACCCCGCCAGGGACAGCUGCUUCCUCCCACUUUCCCCCCUCUUCUCUAUGUUUGCCAACGCUCUACCUCUACCCAAGGUUCCUCUACAGCAGGGCUACUCAACUGGCGGCCCGCGGUCCGAAUCCGGACCUUAUGAGUGUUGUAACUGGACCCCAAGUUCCAGCAGUAGAAAAAUAUAACUGAUUUACAUGAAUCCAUCGCUAGGACUUUCAUAAUGUAAAAUUAUAUUUUGCUACUCCUGGAGCUGGGGUCCAGCUACAAUAUUUAAUCGGAUCUCUGCAUACAUUUGUACUUGUCUAACUGGACCUUUGCUCAUAAUGGUUGAGUAGCCCUGCUCUACAGUA